GAGAGAAACAUCGAUGUGAGAGAGAAACAUCAACUGGUUGACUCCCUUACACACGCCCACCGGAAUCAAACCUGCAACCUGGGUAAGAGACCCUCUCUUCUAUCCCAGAUCACCUCCACUGGAAAGCACAAGGCCAGUCUGAUGGGAACUUCAUUGUUGUGCAGGGAACUGCAAGCAGCCUGUGGAGACUGAAGUGAUGCACUUCAGCAGCUCUAAGAGUGAAGUAGUCCUGGCUCCAGUGUCCUGAGGUCCUCGUGCCUGUCAGAUGAUAACUAGAGCCUGGCUCAGCCAGGAUCCCCUAAAAGAACAGUGCCAGGAGGCUAGAGGGAGCCCAGGAUUUAGGAAGCUGGACAACAUGUGCCAGAUCCCGGAAGCCUCGCUCUCCCCCACUCCAGCAACUAUAAUUCGUGUCUUCUAUUUUUUCUCUCCUGCCAGACAAAGCCAAACACACAUCAACAGUGUUAACACAAUAAAUGUCAGCA